ACGCUCGACACCUACGGGGGGCAGCAGUCGGGAAUAUUGCGCAAUGGAGGAAACUCUGACGCAGUGACGCCGCGUGCAGGAAGAAGGUUUUCGGAUUGUAAACUGCUUUAGACAGGGAAGAAAGAAAUGACAGUACCUGUAGAAUAAGCUCCGGCUAACUACGUGCCAGCAGCCACGGUAAUCUGAGCGGGCUGGCAAGGC
rnacentral:rRNA from 1 species